UGAUCAUUAUGCCGCGUGUGUGAAGAAGGUCUUCGGAUUGUAAAGCACUUUUGGCAGGGACGAUGAUGACGGUACCUGCAGAAUAAGCCCCGGCUAACUUCGUGCCAGCAGCCGCGGUAAUACGAAGGGGGCUAGCGUUGCUCGGAAUGACUGGGCGUAAAGGGCGCGUAGGCGGUUGGGACAGUCAGAUGUGAAAUUCCUGGGCUCAACCUGGGGACUGCUUUUGAUACGUAGCGACCUGCUGAAGGAAGAGGGUUGUGGAAUUUCCUGUGUAAAGGUGAAAUUCGUAGAUAUUGGAAAGAACACCGGUGGCGAAGGCGGCAACCUGGUCCUUUACUGACGCUGAGGCGCGAAAGCGUGGGGAGCAAACAGGAUUAGAUACCCUGGUAGUCCACGCUGUUAACGAUGUGUGCUGGAUGUUGGGGGACUUAGUUUCUAGUGGUUGGAUGACGCGCUUUUACACCGCCUGGGAAGUCGGACGCAAGGUUCAAGGGAAAAGAAUUGCCGGGUUAAACUC
rnacentral:rRNA from 1 species